rnacentral:misc_RNA from 1 species
GAUGAAGAACGUAGCGAAAUGCGAUACUUGGUGUGAAUUGCAGAAUCCCGUGAACCAUCGAGUCUUUGAACGCAAGUUGCGCCCGAAGCCACUAGGCCGAGGGCACGCCUGCCUGGGCGUCACACGCCGUUGCCCCCCCAUCUACUCCUUCGGGAUGGCGGGGGGGCGGAUGAUGGCCUCCCGUGCGCCUAGCCGCGCGGUUGGCAUAAAUACCAAGUCCUCGGCGACGCACGCCACGACAAUCGGUGGUUGCGAAACCUCGGUUGCCCGUCGUGUGCGUUCGUCGCGCAUCGAGGGCUCGAAAAAAUGCUCGGCUCCGGCUGGGCUUUCAACGCGACCGCAGGUCAGGCGGGGUUACACGCUGAAUUUAAGCAUAUCAAUAAGCGGAGGA